ACUCCAAGAAAUGGUUGCCCAGCUGAAACGGGAAUAUAACGUCAACCGUAUCAACACAUCUCAGGCCAUUGCAGAUCUCAAGAACUUCGUCACCUCAAAUCAGCCAACAGACUUCCUCUGCCAACCUUCACAGUUCCGCAACUCCAAGGCUAACCCCUUUAAAGAAAAGUCCCUGUGCUGUGUGCUGUGAUGCUGUCAUGGCUGCCGUGCUGUGAUGCUGUCAUGGCUGCUGUGCUGUGAUGCUGUCAUGGCUGCUGUGCUGUGAUGCUGUCAUGCCAUGUGCUGUGCUGCAGUCAUGGCUGCCGUGCUGUGAUGCUGUCAUGGCUGCUGUGCUGUGAUGCUGUCAUGGCUGCUCCGUGUGCUGUGCUGCUAGUUUGGCUGUUAAUCUCGCCUCCUUAUUGAUGCCGCUUCAGAUUACAGUAAAGUUUUUUUCCCAUUGCAUGAAAUAACAAGACAUUCCACUCCAGCCAGUCAUUCAAUUCUUCGUCUCAUCAUUCCCUUGUGUAUACCAAAGUUAGGUUUGAGGUGCACCGUGAAACGUUAUGAGGCUAUAUGGACGCAGAAGGUCAAAUUACAAAUUGAAUUCAAUACAACAACUGUUGAUCAUGAAGUUAGGAAACUUGCUCAAAUUUGUAUAUUUUCAAGAUCAAACAACAAGUUUCAUACAAAUAGUUCCAAAUAUGACCGGUUUGCUUUCUUUUGUAUGGACUGGAGAUGCUGCUGUUCAUGUGUUGCUGAGGAGAGAGCGUAAGGCCUUAUUAGGAGCAUGUUGCUGCAUCAGCGACAUGAUGCCAUUCACGAAAGUCAUCUACUCUGCUUAUAAUUCAAAAGACAUAGGAUGGUAGGGUAUGAUAACGUACUUAUUGUAUGCAAGAUUAUUUCCAAAUUAUUAUGCUACUUCAUGUCAUUAGUUGCACUAUAUCUGAUUCUUUGCUACGUUCUUAUCUAGAUUUCUUAUGUAUACUGAUUAUAUUUUCAAUGUGUCAGGUUUGAUGUGGCAAACUUGUAUUUAUUUCUCCGGUUUGUUUUAGGAUUUAAUUUACGGUAGUGGCGUCAUGCGGUCAACGAAAUAUUUGUCAUUGGGAGAAGCUUAUUGAUAAUUAUUUAUUUAAUUAUUUAAAAACUCAAACUUCACAAAGACAACGACCAUCAGUUGAUCAAAAACUUCUAAAACCUAUGCUAAAGAGCCCAGUUUGUUCGAAUCAAAAUCUUUUCCUUAUCGUUACGUCUGUAUUCAGUUCAAAAUAUUCACUGAAGCUGCCGUGGUUGUGAUCUUUAUUUUGCUGCUAUAGGCAUUCACCACAUGAGCCUCUGGCCAGGUAAGCUGCUAACCUAGCCUUCAAGGGACCUGUUUUGGAAGUAUGACCUGCGACCCAAUAUACCUAAUCAUGUCGCUAGGAUUUGAUAUUUGUCACGUUUUAUGUAAGAUUUCAGCCCAGGUCCAUACUUGCUUAGUGCCUUAUAAAUAUUAAGUUAACAGCCAGUAGUUCGCAGGUUAUUCGGUAGAGAUUGCUACUUAUUCUAAUCUUACUUAGCACAGCUGAGGCCUAAGUAUGGCAGCAGUGCAAUUGUUUUUGGUACUUCAACCAAUAUUACAAAUCAAAAUGAGUGGAUUGGGUACUAUACCUAUUAAUAUAAUCUAAACCAGAGUCUUGAGCACUCCACUCCAUUUUUCAUGUAUUCUUAAGCUUUGGUGUUAAGUUAAUGUGCUUACAAAUACUGUACAAGUCAAAUUACUGUCAUCUUGCUUCUGGUUGAGUCCAAUUCUCACUGGUGUAUUGCCCCGUUAAUGUUCACGGUGCUUUUAACAUUACUAUAGCGGGUCAGUAUAUUUAUGGAGGUAGGUAAAUGUGGGUUGCUUGGAUGUAGCCAUAGUCUGCCCUCCGUGAGACUAGCGAUGCUCUAGUUCGUACUAAAAAAACUGUGAUUACUCACAUCGUACAAGGUUCCCCAAGUGUUGCCUCUUUGUAUGUUUCAGGCUUCAAAUUCUGAAUAAAGAAUCAUUUUGAUUAAA
rnacentral:lncRNA from 1 species